ACAGAGAGAAAUUGAGAGGGGAGGGAGAAAGAUAGACAACUUCAGACCUGCUUCACUUCUUAUGAAGCAUUCCCCCUGCAGGUGGGGAGCUGGAGAAGGAACAGGAGCUCAAAACUGGGUCCUUAGAGGUGGUAAUACAUGUGCGUGACCACGCUCAGGCCCCUGUUCUUAGUGCAUUAGCAUCCUUUUCUAUCCAGGGGGCGAUCCUUUUUAGACUUAAUAAUACAGAAUUGUUCUUCCUGCUCCAAGAGCUAAGGUUUUUUUGUUUUGUUUUGUUUUUUUAAGAGAGAAGAAUGGACAUAAUAUAGCAACUUAACACGAUGUUAAAAUAUUCAGAAAUAGAGAAAGUUUCAGGUCAUUAAAGAAUUCUGUCUACUGUCAUCAAUCAUUAUUUGAACCAGUUGGACACCAGUUGGCAACAUCCUGUAGCAGUGGUCAGAGGUCCCAGGGUUGUCUAUUAUAUUAUGGAGCAUCAGGCACAACAUACUCUCAGAUGGAAAUGACAAUUGUGAACAUCACAGUGGUGGUACCUGUACUGCCAUAUCUCUUAAGAUCAACUUGAUGAAGUUCAUAUCAAGUCUUCUGCUUUUCCUUUAGCAGUUUCUGGGACAUACACAAAAGUUCAGUUUGAGAUUUUGAUCAGAGAACUGGGAGGUACUAUUAUGACACCAUCCUGACCUCCCUGGACAGAUGACCUCACCAGUGUGUCC